rnacentral:tRNA from 1 species
AAGUAUUAGGGUGUUAAACGAGCACGUCCCUUCUAAGGAUGUGGUCGUAGGUUCGAAUCCUACAGGGCGUGCCA